GGUAAAAAGUGUCUUGCUUUAAACCUGUGACAUCUAGGAUAUAACAACAUACUUUAACUCUAGGCCACUCUGUUUCAAUAUUGCUAAAAAGACUAACUAAUACAGACUUGUAUUUUUUAAAAAUGUUUAUGUACACUGGUUAGUGUUGCUUAUUGCCUUUUUGUCAGUUUGAGUACUAGGACAUGUUUUGUUCAAUCAGUAUGUUUUCAUUUAACUCAUGAUAUUAUUUUGUUGAAAUGUUUGUUCAGUUCAUUGCUUUCACUCUGUCAUGAAAUUCUUGAAUGAAUAACAGGAGGAACUGAACUUAGACAAAUGUUGCUUUAUUUUCUGUUCAAAAUUUUUUUGGGUAUUAAAAAUAGAAACAUUUUUCA